rnacentral:misc_RNA from 1 species
CUAGCACUCAUCCAAACGUACCCUUAGGCUACCAAGAUCGGCCUCUGCAUUCACAUGGUCAGGUAACAAUCACUCUCUAUUCCUCUCAGCCUUGCAAAAUGCCUCCGAACAGUGUCCAUUAUGCAACAUUUCUAUUGACAAAGGAUUGCACCAUCAAAUUCAUGCGUUGAACAAUUUUUCAACAGUGGUUAGUUAGUGAUCAUACCUCUCUUGCUUUUUUAUUGCUCAAUUUAUUUGAUUAGAUUGAACCCAGUUCCAUCUCCUGAUUAAUAAUGCAAUCACUUUGAUUACACUGUUUUCUUCCAGUUUCUUUGGUCUAGAAUGAAUCAUGAAAAUCUCUCUGUUUCGUGGGUUUUCAACCUUGGUAGAUUCUGUGUCGAUAAAACCCACAUCUGCAAGGCCCCAAUUUCCUGCAAAUUUGAUGAAGAGGAAUUGGCAUCCUAUUCCAAUACCCAAUAGAACACUGCCUGAACCCAAAGGCCAAGAUCUUGAUUUUAUUAAUGUUGCACAUAGCCAUCUGAUUCACACUGAUUGGGAUAAGCUAAUUCAUUGUCGACCCAUUUCACACCGUUCAGAGUUGAGCACAUUUUGCUAAGGAUCUAAAAAGAUCAUGUUCUUUCACUGGAAUUCUUCAACUGGGUUAAAACCCACAGCCCUAAUUCUCAUACACUUGAAACCCAUUCGAUAAUCCUCCACACUCUUACCAAAAACAGAAAAUUCAAAUCUGCUGAGCUCAUUUUGAAGAGUGUACUUGUUGCAAGUUCAAUAGAUAUUGCAGAUAAGUUGUUUGAUGCAAUCCUUUAUUCAUAUCGAAUGUGUGGUUCCUCGCCUCGCGUAUUUGAUUCACUGUUCAAGACCUGUGCACAUAUGAAAAAGUUUAGGAAUGCUACAGUUACAUUUUUUCAGAUUUAGGAAUGCUACAGAUACAUUUUUUCAGAUGAAGGAUUAUGGAUUUUUGCCUACUGUCGAGUCCUGCAAUGCUUAUUUGAGCUCUUUGCUUGAUUUACAUAGGGUGGAUAUUGCUUUGGCAUUUUAUAAAGAAAUGUGCAGAUGUCGGAUUUCACCAAAUGUGUACACUCUUAACAUGGUUAUGUGUGCUUAUUGCAAAUCAGGAAAACUUGAAAAGGCAGUCAAGGUGUUUGAGGAAAUGCGAAUACUAGGAAUUAGUCCUAAUGAUGCAUCUUACAAUACCUUGAUUACAGGGUAUUGUCACAAGGGUCUCUUGAACUUGGCUAUGAAGCUUAAAAACUUGAUGAGGGAAAGAGGGGUGGAGGCAAAUGUGGUUACCUUUAACACUUUAAUUUAUGGGUUUUGCAAAGAAGGGAAAACACAUGAAGCUGGUAAAGUUUUUAGUGAGAUGAAAGUCCUGAAUGUACCUCCUAAUACCAUAACUUACAAUACUUUAAUAAAUGGGUACAGCAAAGUGGGAAAUAGUGACAUGGGCAGUAGGCUUUAUGAGGAGAUGUUAAGGAAUGGGGUUAAAGCUGAUAUAUUGACAUACAAUGGCUUGAUUUCAGGCCUAUGCAAGGAGGGCAAGACCAAGAAAGCUGCAUAUAUGGUUAAAGAACUUGAUAAAGUGAACUUGAUUCCUAAUGCUUCUACCUUUUCUGCUCUUAUUAGCGGGCAGUGUAUGAGAAAUAACUCUGACCGCGCUUUUCAGCUGUAUAAAAGUAUGGUGAGGAGUGAUUGUUAUCCAAACAAACUGACUUUCAACAUGUUGAUUUCUGCUUUCUGCAAGAAUGAUGAUUUCGAAGGAGCAUUUACAGUCCUGAUGGAUAUGUUUGAAAGGCAUAUGGCUCCUGAAUCGGAUGUUCUAUUGGAAAUUUACCAUGGACUUUGCCAAUGUGGAAAAGAUCAUUUGGCAAUGAAAUUGUGCAGUGAGAUGGAAGCUAGAUUUAUCAUGCCAGAAGGUUUUGGAAAAGCUAAACCAAUCAACCGAGGACUAGAGAAGGAGAACAAAGCAUUUGGACAAAGUUUGUAAGGUUGUGCCUGUUUUCCCUUAGCUGUUUUUAUUAACAUUUGUAACUACAGCUCUUAAGUUUUAGCAAAACCAAAAUGUGCUCAUCUCCUAAAAUAUAUUGUUCAAGAUCUUACUGUUUGAGGAAACCUUCAUAAGCAUAGAUUGAAUCUUUAUGACUUGUAUCAAAUUAAGUAUAACUUUUGUGUAUAUGCCACGAAGAAAAUCUCAAAAGCCAAUCUUCAGAUGUUGCAUAACUUGUAUAAAAAUAUCUUUUUGCACCUCCAUUGUCGGAUUAACUCGGGGAUAUUCUCUGUUUCUUCUUGUACUGAGAUGCUUCCUGCUAUUUUUGUGUGCAAGCAAUUUUAUCUCACGGUUAAGCUGCAAGAUGCUAUCUUUGAUUGCUG